rnacentral:rRNA from 1 species
GGUGUAGGCGGUUCGGUAAGUCGGGUGUGAAAUCCCAGGGCUCAACCCUGGAACUGCACUCGAUACUGCCGGACUAGAGUCUCGGAGAGGGUGGCGGAAUUCCCGGUGUAGAGGUGAAAUUCGUAGAUAUCGGGAGGAACACCAGUGGCGAAGGCGGCCACCUGGACGAUGACUGACGCUCAGACCCGAAAGCGUGGGGAGCAAACA